rnacentral:lncRNA from 1 species
AAGAACAAAGGAAGAAAAGAAAGAACAAGAACCCUAGGGUGAAAAUUCAAGAGAAAAUUGGUGGAUUUCAAGUAAUCAAGCAAUCAAAGGUAAAAUUUCUUGAUUUUGACUUGUGAUCUACCUUUCCCAUACAUUCUUUUGCAUUUUCCAUGGUUGAAUCACAUGAUUUCAUGAUGGGUAUCUUGCUGGCUGAACACUUAGAGAGAGGUUUUGAUGCUUGAUUUGGUUAGAUUUCAAUGUAUUUUAGUGUUUUUAGUUGAUUGGUGAUGUGUAGCAUGAAAAUCAAGCAAGAAAAAUUCAUGUUCUUCCAUCACCCAUCAUUGGCUGAAUUCUCCAUGUGGAAUAUUGAGGAUGAUUUUGAUUUUAUUUCAAGUGAUUUGGUUAGGAAUUAGUGAUUUAUGGUGUGAGAAUCAAGUAGGAAAAAUCAUAGUGUUGAUGCACCCACCAUGGCUGAAUUUUCCAAGAGAAAAUGUGAGGAUGAUUUUGCCAUAUUUCAAGUUAUUUAAUUUGUGUUUGAUGAUUUGGAGUAUUGGGAGAAAAAUGGAAUUAUUUGGAGUUAAAUUGGACAUAUUGGCCAAUUAAUCGGGUGAUAGAUCGAAUUAGGCCAAUAUCGUUUUAUUUAGGUACAUAAUUGAAUUUAUAUUGAACACCGUAUUUAGAUAGUUACCCAAGUAUUUCACAUCCCAUUUCAUGCAUUAGUAUAGAGCCUGAAUUGGUUUUAUAACAAUUUAGCACAAAUGUAGUAAAUGGCUUAUUGCGCAUUAUGUCUACGUGGUGAGCAUUAUGGCAAAAGUAAAGAGAUAGUACCCGAGGAUCAAGAAUCGGAGUACUCGAAAUUCGACUCACGAAAUAGUGAGUAACCUUACUAUCGUCUUAAUUAUCUAAAGUAGUUUUUAUUCAUUGUGAUUUUAUAGAAAAAUAUGUUUAAAUGGUAAAUCUUUAGGUUUUAUAAACAAAAUGUGUUUAAAUGAAAUGAUUUUAUAAAUUGUCUUGAAAUUUAAUGAUGGUUUUGAAAAUGGAGUAAUUGGAGACUAAUUGCUGUGUUAUAAAUCAUGGUUUGAAUGGAAUGGCUUAUGAUAAUAUUGGCAUGAAUGGUUGAAUUGGUAUUUGUGUUGAAAAUGCAUAAACUGUUGUUUGCCUUGAUAGGCUAGAUAAUAAUAAAAUUGCCAUGUCAUGCUAUUGAAUUUUACUGAAUUGGUGGGUUAUUGAUUAGUCGCUGCAGUGGACGGGUUUCGUAGACCAGCCUAUUAGAGGGGGCACGGUAACCCUAUUAUAUUCAUACCUCAGUAUAAGAGGCGCGGUUGGAUAACUCUUGAGGUUAACACUUUAGAGUUCACUUCACGCCAAACCACCACGUGAGGGUGAACUCAGCUAAUGCCAAGGAAUGACUAUGUUUUCAAAAUAAAAACAUGACUUAUGCGUACAUAACUUUUUAUCAGCCUUGGCGGACUCAGUUGGGAUAGCCCUCGACCAAGGUAUCCCUGAUAACUGAGUAUAAGAAUGAUUUUGGCAUGAGCCAAAGCUUUUAAUAAAUUCAUAAGCCAUGUUGAUUAUUCGAUUUAUAUGAAUUGAUUUUAUUUGGUUGAAACGAGUUGAAAGGUGAUGAAUUACAGUAUGUUAAACUAUUUUAUCUGUCUCCAUUGACUCAACUUUAGAUAUUUUAGAUGAUAUUUGUUUACUUACUGAGAUUAUAUAAUCUCACCACCCUCCUUUCCACCCAUUUCAGGCUCAUGAUAGUAGGUAAAUAGCUCACUUUGUUGAGGGCUACAGUUGGACUUGCAUCCCUAAAAACU